UCUCUUGAGGAUGGGUUCGAGCCCCUUCUCUCUAG
rnacentral:tRNA from 2 species